GACGAACGCUGGCGGCGUGCUUAACACAUGCCAGUCGAACGGAAAGGCCCUGCUGUCGUGGGGUGCUCGAGUGGCGAACGGGUGAGUAACACGUGAGUAACCUGCCCUUGACUUUGGGAUAACUUCAGGAAACUGGGGCUAAUACCGGAUAGGAGGUCCUGCUGCAUGGUGGGGGUUGGAAAGUUUCGGCGGUUGGGGAUGGUCUCGCGGCUUAUCAGCUUGUUGGUGGGGUAGUGGCUUACCAAGGCUUUGUCGGGUAGCCGGCCUGAGAGGGUGACCGGCCACAAUGGGACUGAGAUACGGCCCAGACUGCUACGGGAGGCAGCAGUGGGAAAUAUUGCACAGUGGGCGGAAGCCUGAUGCAGCAACGCCGCGUGCGGGAUGACGGCCUUCGGGUUGUAAACCGCUUUCGCCUGUGACGAAGCGUGAGUGACGGUAAUGGGUAAAGAAGCACCGGCUAACUACGUG
rnacentral:rRNA from 1 species